GGAUUAGCUGAGAGUGGUGCAUGGCCGUCGUCAGUUCGUACUGUGAAGCAUCCUGUUAAGUCAGGCAACGAGCGAGACCCACGCCCACAGUUGCCAGCGUACUCUCCGGAGUGACGGGUACACUGUGGGGACCGCCGCUGCUAAAGCGGAGGAAGGAAUGGGCAACGGUAGGUCAGUAUGCCCCGAAUAUCCCGGGCUACACGCGAGCUACAAUGGUUGGUACAAUGGGUAUCUACCCGAAAGGGGACGGGAAUCUCCUAAAACCAAUCUUAGUUCGGAUUGAGGGCUGCAACUCGCCCUCAUGAAGCUGGAAUCCGUAGUAAUCGCGUUUCAACAGAACGCGGUGAAUACGUCCCUGCUCCUU
rnacentral:rRNA from 1 species